rnacentral:lncRNA from 10 species
AUAGCAUCCCCAAAGAACAUUCAAGUCUGAGCCUCAAGGAGCCUCUGCGACUCGGUGUCUAGAUCCAGGAAAUGGAGAAUGAGCCGUGACUUUGGAUGCUUCACUCUUGUCCAUCAGGCUCGGAAUUGGAGCUUUGGUAUGAACCAUGCCCGGUAACAGGGACUGUGCAGAGGAAGAAUCCCAGCUAGCCUAUGGAUGAAGAGCUCAGUGAAAGGAGAGGCAGACAGGACCGAUGGCUGCCACCUUGGACCAUGAUGUGGGAGCCACGUUAUGAGAAUGGCAGAGCAACCAGAUAGCGUUGGCACCACCAAUCCCAGCCCUGGACUUCCCAUGGUAAGGAGAGAGAGAAACGUCUUAUGGGAGCCACCAUCAUUCUCGUGCAGCAAACCUGAUCCUAACACACAGCACCAAGACCCUGCCUCCUCCUCUCCCUUCCCUCCCAGUGCCGACGAAGACCUACUAUGCAGAGAGGAUAGAGGAGGGACACAGAGGCCACUGGAGGUGAUUUGAAAAGGACGAGGACACCUGGGAACAAGGCAAUGAAGGUGGCUAGGACAGAGGCAUGAG